AUACGGAGGAUGCAAGCGUUAUCCGGAUUUAUUGGGUUUAAAGGGUGCGUAGGCGGUUUGCUAAGCGGGAGGUGAAAUGCCGGCGCUCAACGUCGGAAGUGCCUCCCGAACUGGUGGACUUGAAUGACUCUGCCGUGGGAGGAAUGUGUAGUGUAGCGGUGAAAUGCUUAGAGAUUACACAGAACACCGAUUGCGAAGGCAUCUCACGAAGGGUUGAUUGACGCUGAGGCACGAAAGCGUGGGGAUCAAACAGGAUUAGAUACCCUGGUAGUCCACGCAGUAAACGAUGAUGGCUAACCGCUGGGCUUAUCAGUUCAGUGGCCAAGCGAAAGCGAUAGGCCAUCCACCUGGGGAGUACGACCGCAAGGUUGAAACUCAAAUGAAUUGACGGGG
rnacentral:rRNA from 1 species